AUGGCCGCCUCUUUUGCAACUCUUCAUGUGCUUUUCUUAACAUGGUUCCUUCCCGCUACCUUCAGUUUAAGCUUCUUCUUCUUCAAAGCAGAGUCAAUCUCAAAUGUCUCUCGCAAUGAAAAAGACAAGCAAGCCCUUCUAACUCUCAAACGUGGUCUCACUGAUCAUGGACACGUCAUCCUCUCAUCCUGGUCUGACCAUAAAGAUUGCUGUAUAUGUGACGGAGUUUUCUGCGACAAUAAAACUGGCCGAGUCUCUAAGCUCCACCUCAAUUAUUUGAGGUUAGGCGGUGAGAUUAGUGGUCCAUUGCUCCAACUAGAACAUUUGAAUUACUUGGAUUUGAGUGACAAUGACUUUAAUUGUACUCCGAUCCCAACGUUCCUUGGUUCAAUGUACAAUCUCACACAUCUUGAUCUCUCAAGCACUAACGUUUGUGGACUCAUUCGUCAUCAGCUUGGGAACCUUUCAAGCCUUCGCUAUCUGUCUCUUGGAAAUAAUUCUGACCUCUAUGUAGAUAGCCUUCAUUGGAUGUCUGGUCUCUUUGCCAUUCAAUACCUUGACCUAAGCUACUCUAACCUUCACAGAGAAGUUGACUGGCUUCAAAUAAUGAGUAUGUUCCCAUCUCUUUUGGAUUUAAUCUUGCGAUAUUGUCACCUUGAUAGCUUGAAUCCAUCUCUUGGAUUUGUCAAUUUUACGUCUCUUCGAGUCUUUCAUCUUUCUGGAAAUCAUUUCAAUCAUGAGAUACCUAAUUGGUUCUCUAAUCUCAGUACAAGUCUCGUAAGGAUUAGCCUAUACAACAAUUCUUUGAAAGGCAAUAUACCGCCUAGCAUUUUCAAUUUAGAGAAAUUAAAGUAUCUUGAUCUUGGACUUAAUUCUUUAAAUGGUCCUAUACCUUCUUCCAUUGGGAAUUUAUCUCAUAUAAGAGCAUUAUACCUCAACCAAAAUCAGUUGAAUGGCACCAUUCCAAAGAAUCUUGGGCUUCUCUCUAAGUUAGAGAAGUUGUAUGUCGGAAAAAAUUCAUUAACAGGUACCAUAGAUGAAAGACAUUUAAGAAAACUCUCAAAAUUAAAGGUUCUCCAUAUGUUUGAAGCACCUUUGUUCCUUAAUGUCAAUUCCAAUUGGGUUCCCCCCUUCCAACUUAACCAUGCCUCCAUGAGCUCAAUCAAGAUAGGUCCUAAUUUUCCUUCAUGGCUACAAUCACAAAGAUCCCUCAGAUUUUUAGGUAUGUCCAUGUCAGGAAUUUCAAGCAAAGCUCCAGGUUGGUUCUGGAAUUGGACUUCAAACAUUACAUUUAUCAAUCUCUCUAACAACCACAUAGAAUGUGAUGUAUCAGACAUUUUUCUAAGUUCUACUGUCAAAAUGCUCAAUAUAGCAAACAACUCAUUUUAUGGACCCAUUUCUACUUUCUUAUGCCAAAAGAAAUUAGAAAGAAUAAAUUAAAGGUUUUAGUUGCAUCAAACAAUCUCUUAUCAGGAGAACUUUCUCACUGUUGGAAGUAUUGGCAAUCUUUGAUCCAUUUAAACUUAGGAAGCAAUAAUCUAGUAGGUAGAAUUCCCUACUCCAUGGAGGCUUUGGUUAGCCUCCAAUCAUUGCGUUUACAAAACAAUAGCAUCUAUGGAGAUAUUCCUUCAUCGUUGAAAACAUGCUCAAAUUUGAGGCUCAUUGAUAUGGGUGAUAAUCAUUUGUCCGUUAUACCACUAUGGAUUGGAGAAAUGAAAAAUGUUUUAGUUCUCCAUCUAAGAUCAAGUGAAUUCAAGGGUUAUAUACCUCAACAAAUAUGCCAACUUUCUUCUCUUAGAAUAUUGGAUCUUGCCAAUAAUAGCCUAUCAGGAUCCAUACCAAACUGCUUGAAAAAUAUUAGCGCCAUGGCAUUACCAGAUUCCUAUGAUAUUUCAUUUUCUUAUUCUCUGUCUUUUGAAUAUUGGAAUAUAUAUGCAUCCUAUGUUCAGAAUGUUCAGUUGGGUCCCAAAGGAAAGAAAUGGAAUACAAAGAAAACCUUAAAUUAGUUAGGCUCAUAGACCUUUCAAGUAACAACUUGUCUAGAUCAAUUCCUGCAGAAAUUUCAAAUCUUUCUGAGUUAGAUUUUUUGAAUUUGUCUCGAAAUCAUUUGAUGGGAAAGAUACUAGAAAAAUUUGGGAGUAUGAAAGAGUUAGAGUCAGUUGAUCUCUCAAGAAAUCAUUUAUUGGGUAAAAUUCCUCCAAAAAUGUCUAAUUUGACAUUUCUUAGUCUCUUGGACUUGUCAUACAACAACCUCUCUGGUAGAAUUCCUUCAAGCACCCAGCUUCAAUCAUUUGAUGCCUUUAGGUACAUUGAAAAUCCUCGGUUAUGUGCUGAUCCUCUUCCAAAAAGCUGCACAAUUGAGGAACAAUCUUUGAAUAGAUCACCAAUUGGUAGUGUUGAAGAUGAUUCUAAAAACUCCAGCUUCUACAUUGGCAUGAGAGUUGGAUUCGCAACUGGCUUUUGGGCAAUUUGUGGAGCUCUCUUCUUUAAUAGGACUUGGAGGCAUGCUUAUUUUAGAUUUGCUGAUGAAAUAAAAGAUUGGAUUUAUGUGACUACAAUGAUAAAGAUGAAUUUACUGGAAAAGCUAAGAGUCUGCCUUAGUAAGUGAGGCAUUGUUAUCUAGCCAAAAUAUAUUGCUUCAAGUUAUAUGUCCUUAAUAUUGUUUUUUUCAUGUUAUUUUUGUAGGCAGCUACUUUGAAUAUACAAUUUAUUUCAUAGCUAAAUGUGAUAGUCAUUUGGAUUUUAUUUCACAAAUAUGACAUAACUUUAGCCUUGGUUUGUGAUAACAGUUUUACUGAAAAUACUAUUCCCUAUUUGAAAAAACGAGUUUCUCAUUUUGGAACCAACAAACUCUACUCAAUUGAACCAAAUCUAUGACUGUUAUUGAAUUGAGUUGGGUUUUUGAUAAAAAUAAUAGUCAUAAAGAUUAAAACUUUCUUUCAUUUAUGCUAUUCUUUCUUAUCUUCUUCUUCUUCUUCUUCUUCUCCUUCUUUUCCUGCUUUUGUAUGACCUUUUUGCUCUUUUGCAAAAAAUAUUUUACUGGCUGUGAAACUCUUGCAAUCCAUGACAAUUACAAUUAGAAGCAGACAUAAAUAAAUUGUUUCUAUAUACCAGGUUAGUGUAACUACAACUUUGUUGUCUGAAUUAUCUUGUUUUUUAGCUCUGCAUAUGAACUAUAUGCGGCUAUUGGUACUGGCUAGUUACACUAAGGAUGUUGUUUGUAAUGUGAAAAGAUAGUGACCAUAUCAGUAGUGUGGACCAUUUGAUUGGUUUUUAUUAACCUCUUGAAUGUAUGUUUUACCCAAUUAUGAUGUAGUAAUUGUAUGGAUUUUGAUGUUAUGGUCAAAUUAUUUAAAGCAAAUUUCCCAUAACAAUGAGAUCUACCUCAAAUGGCUUCCUCUUCCAUAAUAAUGAGAUAAAGGGUAAGGUUUUGAUUCAAAACUUAAUGAAUGCAUAAUAUACCAAUAAUAAUAAUGAUAAAUAAAGACUAUUCCCUAAGGUUCAACCCUAUCAAUUGUCAUAUAUUGUGUUAGAUCUAUUUGUAAUAAGUGAAUGCAUUGGUUAAGGAUUUUUAUUUUUAUUUUUUUAUUUAUUUUGAAUUAACUUAAAAAGAGGUGGUAAAUUAUCAUUGAGAUUGUGUUUGGAUGACCUUCUUUUGACUAUCUUACUUUGUUUAAAAAUACGACUAUAGUUAAAAAAAUUGAGGCUUUAAAAACAUUUACAUAAGUUGUUGGUGAAAUUAAAUUGACAUUUUAAUCUAAAACAAACAGAACCUUAGCAUAUAAAGUUCAUGUUAGGCAUCUACUAUUUUCUAGUUCUUGUUUCUAUGGUAUUUAAAGAUAGAAGUGAAUGUAGUAUUAUAAUAACUAGUCGCAGACCCACGCGAUGCGUGGGAAUAUAUAUUUUGUAAUAUGAUACAAUUCAUAAUUUAUUCUCUAAAAUUUAUUGAAGAUAGUUUUGUCCUAAAAACUUGAACUAUUUCUAAAAUUAUUUUCCAACUCUCUAUCUCUACAAAUAUAUCAUUAUAUUAUUUUGGUUUUUUAUUUUAUUUUAUUUUAUUUUAUUAAUUUUAUAGAUAUGAUAUUUGAAAACCAAUAAUGGAGGGACAUGCCAACACAACAUUAGAUUUCUAUUUUUCUUCCCAUGAUGAGAUUGUAUUAUAUUUUAAUUCUUCUAAAUUUUGAGGUGCAACCUUCGUACCAGUUGCUAAAUCCUUCAUUCCCAAAAGUGAUGUCUAGUUAGUUGCCAACAAAAAAGAAUAAGACAACAAAAAAAUAAAUAAAUAAAUAAAUAAAGGAAAGUGAAGUUUUAUAGGUUAGAGUCAUCACGUACAAAAACUUAUUUACAAUAAGGUAUAUAAAUAAAAUACAUAUUAAACAAACCUUACUUCAGCAAAAUGAUCAAAUUUAGUAGAUCCUCACUUAUAUCAAUUUCCAUCAAAGACCACCAAAUUGUCAAAUAGUAAUAUGCCAUUGAUUCCACCCAUGUCUACUACAGACAUUUAUCAAUGUGUCCCUAUACAAAUCACUCAAUUAUUAUUGUUUUGAAUUCCCAUAGAAAAUCAAAAUAGAGCGUAUACGAAUUGUAAACUUGCUAACUCGGCCAAUUGUUCUUACCUCGGAGAAGAUGUCUAUUAACAUUCCAAGUUAUGAAUUUCAAAUGGCUACAGGAAGUUAUCAGAUUGUAUCAGUUGCUAUGCCCAAAAAUAGCAAUUGCUUCUGCCUUCAUUGGAACACAUCAACUAUAUCAUAUUGUGUUUAAUAAGGAAAAAAAUAGUAAAAUCCAAAAGAAAUAGUAUUGUUAAGAUUUGUCUAAAACUCAUGUAUAUAGUAUUCUAGAUAUUCAAAAAAAGAAAAUCAAGUUGUUGAAAAAAUAGCAUAAUUCAAAAUCUAAAACUAAAAAUCCAAUUAUUGUUCAUGUACACAGUAUUAAAGAUAGGUAUUCAAAAAUCAAGAACCAAUUAAUUUUUCUAUCCUCACAACAGUUAGCAUAAAGCUAGGUACUAAUGGAAUUUAAAAAUAACUCAAUUCUUUGAAUUUCCUCACUCCUAAAAUACCAAAAAAUUUCUCAUAAGCUAAAUAAUCCCCAAAGUUAUUCGUCAACCAAACAGGCCAACUUAGGUCCCAAACACAAAAAUUCUAGCCACAAUACAACAAUCUACUUAAGCUGAUGUACUUUGAAGAAUUAGAGUUUCCUUUAAAAUAUUAAGAUAAAAAAAUUUAAACUAUUACAUCCCAAGUUCCAUACACAAAAAAAAAAAAAAUAAUAAUAAUAAUAAUUUAAGAUUCAAACUUUACUCUCUUUUCUUUUCCAUUUUCCCACAAUUUCUGGGACACCAAAUAGUCAAAUUAAACAAUAAAAAACAAAUUAUUAGUAUAAGGAAAUGAAAUCUAAUAUAGCUGUGUAUUGAACCAUAAAAAGCAAAUUAUCAAGCACCACCCAAGAAAAGCAACAAUUUUAUUCCUCUUUCCUUCAAAAUAUUCUAAGAAAAGAAUGGUUACCAAUUGAUUAGUAUGACCUUUAAUAGAUUAAAAAGCCUCCAAUGAUUGCGAGUCUUGAUCAUUGACAUCUGUCGAAGAAUUAACAAACAAAACAGAGAUAAAAAUGAAAUUUAGUUUAGCAUAUAAGACGAUGGGAAAAAGAGAACAAUAACAAUUUCUCUUUGAUGAAAAUGAAUAACACUCUUACUAUAAAACAAAGACCAAAAUAAAAACAUCACAUUGAACAAACAUAUUGAGAGUAACAUUCCUACAGUCUAGAGAAUGGCAACCAUAAAACAAUUUAUAACAAACAUGAUCAAAUGCCCAACUCAAAUAAUUUUUUUUAAAAUAUAAAUAAAUAUAUAUAUAUAUAUAUAUUUUAAUAGUUUUAAUACCAUGAAAACUCAAUCUCGUUCAUAAUGAAAACUCAAAAUUGAACUACGUUUUUUUUUUUUCCUAAUAAUGAGAUGGGAAUAAAAAAAGAAAAAUAAAGAAAAAGAAUAAUACAAAUAGCAGAACUCAUUUUUAGUUUAUACCCUUUGGACUUGGGCUACCAAUGUUCACCUCUCAUCUGCUUUAGUUUCGUUUGCAAGCUCUAGAGUCAUCAUCUAUCUCUUGCGCUCACUUGAUUGGGUUUUGGUAGACGAACUUGAGCCAUGACCAAAAGAACGGAAAAAACACUCAAGAAACUAUCGCAUUGAAGGCCAUACCGAUCAAUUUGUAAACAGAGAACAAUUGAAAAUUUAUAGAAAAAAAAUGAGAGGUGAGGAGGUUGCAAUCUAUCGGUGACUAUAAAAAUUCCAUAUAAUAGCGGCAUCUCAAGAGUCUGGGUUAAUGGAAAGACACAUGAUAGAUGUGGAGAUAAAGUAUUAGUGACUAUAAGAAUUCCAUAUAAUAGCGGCAUUUCAAGAGUCUGGGUUAAUGGAGAGACACACGGUAAAUAUGGAGAUAAAAUAUUGGCGACUAUAAGAAUUCCAUAUAAUAGCAACAUCUCAAGAGUAUGGGUUAUGGGUUAAUGGAGAGACACGCGAUAGAUAUGGAGAUAAAGUAACACUUGAAUUUAAAAAGAGACUCAAUAAAUGGCAAUAGAUAAAACAAAAAAUAAAAUAAUAAAAGAAAAUAAAAUAAAUGAUGACAUGGUGCUGACGUGGCUUAACUGGAGCGUAGCAACAUUAAACGCUACGCUUCAGCUUUUAGUAAUAUAUAGAUAGAUUAAGAAAUUUAGGUUGAAUCACCACUAUUAAGUAUAUAUUUUGUGCCUAUUUUGGUUUCAAAACUUCUUAAAUCUUAAUUACUGAAAAAGUUGUAUUACUUGCGUUGUGAUUAAGCCAAAAUUGAACUUAUAAAUCAUGGUAUUGCAUUUUGAGUAGAUGUUAUUUUGUUUGUUCUCUCCACUUUACCACUUGGCUUCAUGUGAAUUUAUGCUACCUUUGUCAUCUAGUGUACUACUUCAUUGGUUGUCCUUUAAUUUCAAUUUUUUUCUCAUUAACUGUUUGGGAAGGAAUGCUGAUGAGGCAAAAGCAAAGGAGUUCAAUGAAAUGGCUUGUAAAGCCUCUCUUGCUGAUCAACAAAAGCAGGUCCAAGAAAACAUUCAUGCUCAGAUUAAAAGUUUCUCCAUGUGUAUAAAUGAAAUUCUCCUGCCUUAUACUAAAAGGAUAGUUGAGGCACAAGAGCUGCCUCCACAACUAAUAGCUGCUCCUUGUUAGAGUGGCCUUGGUUUUGAUAUUGGCAGGAAUGGCCAACCUACAAACCGUCUUGGUAAGAUUCUGUUUGUAAAAAAAAAACCUUUUCCAAUGUUGCAUCAUGAGCUUGAAGUUGUGUGAGUGUAGCUUGAGAUGUACGGGAUCUUUGAAUUUUCUUGUGACUCAUCCUUGAAGUAGGGAGAUUAUCUUGAUAAAGGAAUUAUCUUUUGAUUUGUCCAUUGAUUACCCUAACUUCUUUAAUUGUUUCCUUAAACAAAUUUAGUUAUUUAAAAUAUUUAAAAUUUAUUCAAGUAGAGUUGAAGUCAACAUCCAAUCAUUUUUGAACUAAAGUGUCAACAAAAGAAAUUUACAUUUGGGCAGUGAAGUGGAGGGGAAGAUGCCUUGGGUAUACUUAACUUGAUUUUAUGGAAGGCACCUUCAAUGAGUAUUUAAUUAUUUCUAGCUUCUAUAAGGUCUUUUUGAAGUCAUAUUCUUUUGAUUGUGAUGUGAUUCAUAGGUAGUUCUAUACUUUUUAACCUUUGUACUUCUAAAUUAAUAUUCUUAGAUGAACUGUUGAUUAUACAUUUUAAUUUGCUCUAGUUGUUAGAUUUCUUGCAAACUUCAAUGUUGCGAAUGAGUAUUUCCCCCUCUUUUAAGAACAAUGUGGCAGGUGAGAUUAAGGGUUCGAGACCCACCCAUAUGUGUAACUUACCAAUAAAUCAAAAAGAUUACUUGCAAGCUUUGAUGCUAUUAAUACAUUAUAGAAUAUCUCUUGGCUUCUUUUCAUUGAAGUUAAAGCUCUAAAAUAGUAUUCAUUCUUUUUUGAAUGGCAUUUUUAUUGCAGCUAAACAAGAAAUUCAAUCAGUUUGUAACCUAAAACAUAACAUUAUUUGGGUUGAAACCUUGGAAACCAAAUUGAUUAUAAAGGUUAUGUGAAGUUCUCAGUUUUGAUUAACAUUCGUCAAAGCCUUGAUUGGAAGUGUAUUGGAGGUAACACAUAUAGAGGUCCAGAUUAUUUUACUGCAAGAAAGUGCUAGAUUGUGAUCAAUUCUCACUUUAGUAUUUGGAUGGCAUGUUGCUAGCUAACAAAUACAUGGAUAUGUGGGAAAAAAAAGGGGAUCAAUAUCUCUAGAAGUACAAGGAUGUCCUCCAAGCUGGACUAAUGCCCUCCAGUUUAAUCUCCUUAUGUGGUAAGAACUAAUUUUUUUUCUUUUAAUUAUAUGGUUAAUGUUUCAAACUUUUUCCUGAAUAUAUUUCCCAAUAACAUCAAAUCAACCCUUGCCGCAUCAGAGGUUGGAUGAGAGAGCUUCAACUAGGUGCCUAUUCCUUAAUACGUAGCUGUCAAAUAUGUUUGAUUGUUACAAAAUUCAUUACAAUUGCGCAUACAAGAGUACCCCAUAUCAUAGUCUCUGUACUAGAAUCAAAUUAGAAUGUUUCAGCACCCAGAUUUGAUUACAAGACUAUCAAUUUCUGCUUAAUGUACUAGACUAUAUGUACUUGUUGAGCUUGGAUAAAUUUCAUAUUACAGGAAAACAUAAAAUCCAGAAAUCUGUAUUGUUGUCUUUUGCUGAGUUGCUUGUCCAACAGUUGUGAAAUUCCUUAGGUUUCCUUUGGCAACAACAUUGCUUUGCAUUGUUUGCUGCACUUAGUUUGAUAUACAUGCUCAUGUAUUGCCACACUCUUCUGCAUCCUGUGGUGUAGAGGCUCUUGACAUUUCCAUCUUCUAACACUUUCAUUUGAUUUUUCUUGUUGACCUUGCUGUCUUCAAUAAUUAUUGAACUGCUCCUCGUAUUUAAUAAAUUGUUUUCUUUAUCAAAUUGUCAACAAUGAACUGAUUUUACUAAUGCCACUAUUAACAUAGCUAAACAAUGCCUUUUUUGGCCUACAUGUAGAAAACACAUGAAGCUAGAAUGAAAUUUAUGUCAUUUUAAUUUUUAUAAUAAAACUUAUGAAUUUGUGAAGAGAAUGGUUUAUAUGUACAUUGCAUAUUUUUUGACCAUAACUGCAUUAUUUGGGUUUUAAGUACCUAUAUUCUGUUUAGGUACAAAAGAAGUCUCAAUUAAUUAUUACAAAAUUUCCACAUUUGGUUCUGAUUACUUAAGAGCUUGUGAGUGUGUCAUGUGUGUUCUAGUUCUCCCAUUAAAGUACCAAUUACUAAUGAUUUUUUUGCACAUCAUUGAAUUGUAUUGAACUCUCUAACAGACUAAAGGACCUCAUUGUUUACAAGCUUGAUGGUGAAAUACUUCACAAGGAAGCCAGCCAAGGUAUAUGUUUAGAUGGUGAAGCUGAUGUUGGUACUGUCAUAGCCUUUUAGCCUAAUGUAACUUUGAGGAUAACCCAUUUUCAAUAAUCAAAAUCCUAAGCUCUUUUUGUAAUAAGUGAAUAAAUUAGUUGUUAAGGCCUUUGUUUUAAUAUAAAUUAUGUUUACAAAGUUAAAAUUAAAUAGAUUUUCACGAUUGUGUUUGGAUGAGCUUAUUUUGACUGCCUUACUUUGUUAAAAAAUAAGCUGUAGAACAGUACAACUAUUCUUAGAAAAUUAAUACAACUUUUGUUUGUUCCCUACUUUGCCAAUUCGCUUCAUGUGAAUUUAUGCUACCUUUGUUGCUCAGGGUACGACAUCAUUGGGUGUGCUUUAAUCACAAUUUUUUUCUCAUGACAGACUUGAACAUCCAGCUACAACCAUUUGGGAAGGAAUGCUGA
rnacentral:sRNA from 1 species